AGUGAACGCUGGCGGUAGGCCUAACACAUGCAAGUCGAACGGCAGCACAGUAAGAGCUUGCUCUUACGGGUGGCGAGUGGCGGACGGGUGAGGAAUACAUCGGAAUCUACUUUUUCGUGGGGGAUAACGUAGGGAAACUUACGCUAAUACCGCAUACGACCUACGGGUGAAAGCAGGGGAUCUUCGGACCUUGCGCGAUUGAAUGAGCCGAUGUCGGAUUAGCUAGUUGGCGGGGUAAAGGCCCACCAAGGCGACGAUCCGUAGCUGGUCUGAGAGGAUGAUCAGCCACACUGGAACUGAGACACGGUCCAGACUCCUACGGGAGGCAGCAGUGGGGAAUAUUGGACAAUGGGCGCAAGCCUGAUCCAGCCAUACCGCGUGGGUGAAGAAGGCCUUCGGGUUGUAAAGCCCUUUUGUUGGGAAAGAAAAGCAGUAGGUUAAUACCCCGCUGUUCUGACGGUACCCAAAGAAUAGGCACCGGCUAACUUCGUG
rnacentral:rRNA from 1 species